ACCCUCUUAGCCCAAUUGGUAGAGGCGCUUGUCUUAGGAACAAGUUAGCAUUGGUUCAAAUCCAAUAGAGGGUACAA
rnacentral:tRNA from 1 species